rnacentral:rRNA from 1 species
UACGUAGGGGGCUAGCGUUGUCCGGAUUUAUUGGGCGUAAAGAGCGUGUAGGCGGCCAGGUAGGUCUGCUGUGAAAACUCGAGGCUCAACCUCGAGACGUCGGCGGAAACCAUCUGGCUAGAGUCCGGAAGAGGAGAGUGGAAUUCCUGGUGUAGCGGUGAAAUGCGCAGAUAUCAGGAAGAACACCCGUGGCGAAGGCGGCUCUCUGGGACGGUACUGACGCUGAGACGCAAAAGCGUGGGGAGCGAACAGG